UUUACCCUGGAGUGUUCGCCAGAGGAUUACGUCCCUGAGCCGAUAAGCAAUACCAAAGGAUUAGUAAUUGAUGGCUAUUGAGCAAGCUCGGCUCGUACCGAGAAGCCUACGGUUGUCUUGCCAAUCCGCCCUGAACCAGCUGGUUCAUGGGUCAAAAUUCCUCAACGGCACUCUGGGGUAUCU
rnacentral:other from 1 species